rnacentral:rRNA from 1 species
AAUAAUUUUAAAUAACCCACUCUUUAGAGCAAUUCAAAUAAGGUACAGCCUAUUUGAACCAGGAUACAACCUAUACCCCCGGGUAAUGUUUUUUACGACAACCAAGUAGGCCUAAGAGCAGCCAUCUUUAAAAAGCGUCAAAGCUUUAUUGUUCUUACUCUUAAUAUCUUAAUUAACCCAGAACCCUCCACCCCUAUUGAGUACUUUUAUACCUCUAUAAAAUUUUUUAUGUUAAAACUAGUAACAAGAAGAUGACCUUCUCUUUAAUGCAAAUUUAAAUCAUAAGGACACACCAAUGACCAUUAACAUAUAUGAAGACAAAUUAGCAACUCCACAAGAAAAGCCUACUACACAUUAUGUUAACCUAACACAAGAGCAUUACAAGAAAGAUUAAAAGAAAAAGAAGGAACUCGGCAAAUAUUAACCUCGCCUGUUUACCAAAAACAUCGCCUCUUGAUUUAAUAUAAGAGGUCCAGCCUGCCCAGUGACUCUGUUUAACGGCCGCGGUAUCCUAACCGUGCGAAGGUAGCGUAAUCACUUGCCCCUUAAAUCGGGGCUAGUAUGAACGGCAUCACGAAGGUUACACUGUCUCCUUUUUCUAAUCAGUGAAUCUGAUCUCUCCGUGAAGAAGCGGGGAUAAAGUUAUAAGACGAGAAGACCCUAUGGAGCUUUAAACCAAGUAGCAGUUGCUUAUAUUUUUCAUAUUUCAGAAUCCUAACAUUUAUUCUAGCUAAAUGCCCACUGGUUUUAGGUCGGGGCGACCGCGGAGUAAAAAGUAACCUCCACAUUGAACGGAACCAGUUCCUGAGCCUCGGGUCACAACCCUAAGCACCAAUAAAUUGACAUUAAUUGACCCAAUGUUUGAUCAACGAACCAAGUUACCCUAGGGAUAACAGCGCAAUCCACUUCAAGAGCUCCUAUCGACAAGCGGGUUUACGACCUCGAUGUUGGAUCAGGGUGUCCCAGUGGUGCAGCCGCUACUAAAGGUUCGUUUGUUCAACGAUUAAAACCCU